GGGGUCCAUCUGAUGACCCUUGGCGUUGGGGGAGGCGCUAAGGGAGCUCCAAGCUCCCAGAAAAGUGCUGCUCCUCGGGCGAGGUAUGUGUAGGCCUUUUGAUCUUGCUUUUGGUUUUUUUGUUUUUCUCUUUCUUUUAAUUCGUGUUAUCGCCUCAUCAGCCGGAAGCACAAGGUGGCCUCGGUGGGGCAGGCUCCCCUGAAGGCCGUGAAGAGGGGGGCGCAGUCGACCCUAGGGUCAGUGAGGCCCAAGUCGCCGCCCCCCUGAACCGUGAGGAGGGCGAGCUCCACCAGUGAAAGCCCUAGUUUGGUUUUGGAUAAUUGAUGAAACCCUAGUACUAACCUCUAUACUAAGUGUGUGUAGACUUAAUGAGGUUGGUACAUGCCAAGUGAUGG
rnacentral:lncRNA from 1 species